rnacentral:rRNA from 1 species
UACGUAGGGUGCGAGCGUUGUCCGGAAUUACUGGGCGUAAAGAGCUCGUAGGUGGUUUGUCGCGUUGUUCGUGAAAACUCACAGCUUAACUGUGGGCGUGCGGGCGAUACGGGCAGACUGGAGUACUGCAGGGGAGACUGGAAUUCCUGGUGUAGCGGUGGAAUGCGCAGAUAUCAGGAGGAACACCGGUGGCGAAGGCGGGUCUCUGGGCAGUAACUGACGCUAAGGAGCGAAAGCGUGGGGAGCGAACAGG